GUGAAUACAUGAAACUGUACUGUCUGCCGAAUAUUGGGAGCAACCAUAUGAGGUAAAUGAAAGUUGUGUCUUUGAAGUUUUGUGUUAUACUAUUGAAUAUUGUGUAUUUCAAUGUCUAUCAUUGGUAAAAAUCACAUCUGUAAUAUGCUUAUUCUCAGAAGAAAGGUAAAAGAAUGUUUAUUUACAAAUCAUCAUCUUAACUGUCUAAUUAUCGCCAUCAGAAACUCGCUCCACGCAUCGACUGGCCCGGGCAAACACCAAUGGACGCAAUCAUUGUAGCCUUUCAUCCAUUUAUUGCCCCAGUAACCAUUCGGAUGCCCAUCGGGUCUCAUCAGCAUAAUCCUCGUCACAUCCAAAACUGCAAACUUCUUUGCUUUGUUGUCUCGUUUUGUUAUACCUUCAAACUGUUCAAUUUGAGAUUUCCUGAUCUUCAUCUCAUUGCUCUGCAGGUCAAUUUGAGUCUCUCCAAAAGGACUCGUCCUGCUGCAAGUUCCUCCGGUAUCCCAAGUCCCAUUCUCGAAAUGGGCAGGUGAAAUAGUCCUCAGUACCGUCACCAAACCAUCCUUACACUUGUCACACUCAUUGAUUUUCUUAAAG
rnacentral:lncRNA from 1 species